ensembl:Y_RNA Y_RNA Y RNA
AGCUGGACGAACACAGUGAGUUAUCUCAAUGGAUUGUUCACUGUCAGUUACAAAUCAAGCUCCUUUUUUUACUCUUUCUCCCCUUCUCACUACUGCAUUUGACUAGUCUUAA